GGACAACUUCCUUUUGAUGCAAGACUGAAUAAGGAAACUCUGUUGUUUGGUCUUAAAUUCACUGGGAAACAGCUAUUGCAUACUUUAAAUUGGCUGUGUACUGUUCAUAUAUUUUCACAUACACACAAAAUAACCAACUUGUUCACAAAUAUAAAUUAAAAUGCUUCACAUUCAAGCAUUUUCAUAAUGAAAAUAAAAAGGGGGUUUAAAAACUGUUUUCCCAAACUGAAGUCCAAUGAAACCAGUUGGUUUCCACGCAUUAAGACAGUAUCGUCUCCCCCAGUUUUAGCAGAAAAUUACUAAUUAGACUAAUAUAUGAUAUAGGUAGUGAUUUUGCGUGUGUGUGUGAGAUUUUAUGAAGCAGUACAACCCAACUACAGAAUAAGUAAGAAUUAGGCCAACCUUUAUUUAUAGGCAGUUUUCUUUACGAGUCUGCUUUUUACCCUUUCAGAAGAUCCUUCACACCAUUCCAAUUUCAGCAAAACAGCUAAAAAUCUGUGAAUUCUUUUUCUCCAAGUUUUCGUAUUUUAUUCUUGUGACAUUUGCAAGAAUUAAUUGCUGAUGACAGCUUUCUCAUCUCUUGGCAUAAUAAAACUAUCAAGAAAGAAUGUUUCAACUUUCAGGUACUAUAAUUUUAGCAAGAACAAGAGAAAACAGACUUGUUCUUAUCAGUAGGUACUGAAAUAUACUUUUGUCUAUGGUUACAUCUUUAUAAAACAGAAAGUAGUUUUUCAUUUGACAGCUGGAUAGCAAUAAAGUCUAAUAAACAAUUACAUUCCAAACAUGAAUUCUCCUACCUCUCCAUACUAAUGUCUCUGAAAUUUACCAUUGCUAUGUUGGCUAAACAGCGGAUUACAUUUUGUAAGGAUAUUCACAAAUCAGACUUAUGUUUCUGUUCCAUGAAAAUAAAUUCUGUUUCAGUUCAUUGCCUUGGUGUAAAAUCAAACAAACAAAAAAACCCACAAAAACAUUAACAGAACUUGAGAAAAUUUGAUCACGAAAUUGAUAAAUUUAUAUUACAAAAAGAAAAGGGGGGGGGGUAAAAAGAAGACAAAAAAAGCCUAUUUAUGGAUAAUAUUAAAAAAGUUUUCUUUAGGUUUUACAUCUGUUGUAGAAGCAAUUUCAGCCAUAAGUGAUCUUCCCAGAACUACAAAUCAAUGCAGAAUGCAACCUGCAAAUUUUCAUGAGGGUCCUAUAAACAUAUUCUAAACUCAGCCUUCUUCAAGGGAGCACAGCACAUUAUGCCAAAGUUUUCUCCUCGAGUUGUUCAUUCUCAGAGGUGAAGCUCUACAGUUUGUUUAUCAAAAAUGUAGAUGGAAAUAUUCACAUGCUACAAAGGUGGACCUAUGUUCUGCCGUGCUGAGGCACUGAUUUGACAGACAGAAAGCCAAAACUAUAAAUUUCACAUAUAAAGGAUAACUAAAACC
rnacentral:lncRNA from 1 species